UCUGAUAAGAAAAGCCGGAGAAAUUAUGAACUGAUAUGUUGGUUAUAGGUAUGACAAAUAAUAUUUAUCUAAAAUCGAAAGAAUUGUUUAGAUACAGGAACUUUUAUAUCAGUCUUAACUUCUUAAAUCAAAUUAUAGAAAUAACAAUAAUUAUGUUAAUGACUUUCCAUAUUUCAGACAAAGAUAAACUAAAUGUAUAUAAAAUUUAGCAUGUAAGAACACCUUUAGAUUUCUGGAAGAUAUAUUAGUACGUCAAUGAAAGCUAAAUAUUUGACAAGCUAGAACAUCAGAAUAUUUAUAAUCAUACAUACGGGAUAGGUAUGUCAUCCCAAAUACAUGACUAACCUGGCUAUAAGAAGAUGUGGUAUGAUUACCAAGAUGACAGCUCUCUAACAGAGACCAAAUGGGUAGAGGUAAACAACUACAGGUCCGUACGGCCUUUAACAAUAAUUUAAACGCAUACCACAUAGUCAACUAUGAAAGGUCCCAAAAUUACAAACACAAAACAAUUCAAACGAGAAAUUUACGACCUGUAGAUUUAUGUACAAAACAAAAAUUGAAAAACAAAUAUGAUAUACAGCAACAAACGACAGCCAUUGAACUAUAUACUCAUGAGUUGGAACAGGCACAUACAUAAUAUGGCGGUGCUAAACAUGUGUGAAGGUGUCAACCCUCCCCAAUUUGCAAACAUAUCAAUACAUAUUUUAAUGUAUUUCAAUUAUGUAAAUCCAUGGAAUAUCCUUGAAAAUGAAAACGAUAAUAUAAUUGCAUUCGUUUUUCAGUUACUUUGCUGUUGAUAAGUGUGGUCAAUUCUGAGUUGUGCUCAGACGUCGACAACAUACUGUGUAAUUUGUUACUCCACAGGGUACCAGAUACUUGUACCGACUCAUGUCUGUCUAGGUUCUGUAAACGAUCAUGUGGGAACUGUGGUAUGUAUUAUAUAUACCAAAGACUGGUGCUGGGUCUGUAGAUCUUAUGUAAAUCCAAUGAUUUGUCUUACAUGAAUCUGUCUGAGACAUAGUUUAUGUUGUGUCAAAAAAUGCUGACAUUUAAGGCCGUGUUCACACCAAACGCCGUGUACAGUAAACAUGGGUUUAAUGUAAUGUACACUAGUUUCACAUUAAAUUUCUGUAUAUCUAGGGUAUGCUAGGAUUAUUACAGUGCGAUCACUUAAAAGGUAGGUCAUUAGUGGUUUUUCUUUUUGCGAUUUAUGAAUGGAAUGUGAUAAACUAUAUCUCGAGUGAACGUGAUUGAUAGUUUAGAUUAUUUUUACCGAUAACCGCUACGAAUUUCAACUGACGGCGACUAUAGUUUGUGAGUAACGCACGUUCAUGUCAGUGCAGAGCAUGUGCAUCAUUAAAACUAGCAAUUCAAGACUUUAAUUUUCGUUUAAAACAUUUACAAUUUAGUAUUACAGCACAACCCAUGUACAGUUUACAUAUAAUAAUAACCCCAAUUUCUUUAUUAAAUGACAGAUGUAGGACUUUUUGAUGAACUGAUUGAUUGGUGGUAUUUAACAUCACUGCAAGCACUCUUGAUUUAAUCGCGAUGAUGAGUGUUUAUUGGUGUAAAAGCUGGCGUGCCAGAAUACAUGUAGAACCACCAGGUCUGGGCAGGAAAAUUAUCUAACAAAGUCAAUUGUGACGCGCUGGUUCGAACUAAACAACUGUUUUCCUCUACUUAUACCAUGUAUACCGCGAGACCACGACAGUUUGUAUGAUAUGCAAACAAAUAACUAAAAAUACUAUAAAAUUUAUUUGUAGUUUUCUUCUUUUUUUUUAGGGUUCUGUUUACUGUUGUUUUUCUGUUCAACAGUAUAAUAGUCCUAGUAUGUACUAUGCAUUAUGACUUUUCCAAUAUUCAAAAUGUACAAUGUACUUAUAACAAUACUUUGACGAUUAUAAUGUAUUUGUCUGUUUUCUUUUGAAGCCCUGAAAUGUUAUGAUUGUACUGAUAUCAAUGAUCCGGGUAACUGUACUAGCUUUAAGACAUGUUCCAGCAAUGAUGAGGUAAUUAGUCACGUGUUAUCUUCUAACAUCAGAUAAGAUGAUGUUUCUUUUAUCUCUUCGUUGUGAUUAAAAAGAGAAGGAAUUCAAUGAGACAUCACCCCAACAAUAAAACAACGUUAUGACUUUAUGUUAUGUUAAGCAGGAUAGUAAAAUAGAGAAUCUUACUUAAAUAUGUUUUUUUUUUUAUUAUUUUCUUAUUUAUAUGUCUCAUGAUGCAUUCCUUUCAAUAAAAACAAUGCUUUACCACUAGUAAUUUUUGUUGUUUGGUAUGGGCCUAGGCUACGUGGUGAAGACCGUACAUUGACUUUUAAUGGUUUUCUUUUAUAAUUGUGACUUGGAUGGAGAGUUGUCUCAUUGGCACUCAUACCACAUCUUCCUAUAUCAAUUAAACCAGUUAAAAUACAUGAUUUUCGCUUAUUUUGAGAAAAAAAUUCGACACCAAUGAAGCACCUUCAUAUUUUGAAUGACACAAAACAUUUUCAACGUUCAAGUUAAAACUGAAUCUGCUAUUGAAAUUAUCAAAUGUCUUUUAUUUUCGUAGCUUAGUUAGUGGUUAACCUUUUGGUAGUAAGACAAAAAAAAUCAUUGCGUGUCAGUUUAAUUUUAUGAAAUUUUAACUUAAGAGGGAAAAAGAGAUGUUUGUUCAUGCACAUUACUAGUUUGACUCAACUACACAGUCGCGCUACCUCAACAAUGUUUUUGGUUUAUCUUUGUGUGUACGUUUAUUUUAUUUCGGAGGGUGUAUGUGAUAGGUUUGUUAUCUGCUCUUUGGUCGGGUUUUGUUCACGGGGAACAAAAAAUGUGAAUGAGUAUUUCCUUUUGUCCAAUCUUUUAAAGAUUUGUUAUAAAACAGUUUUUCUUAUGUUUCUCAUUAUAUUUAUAAUGAACAAUAAAACUUAAAAUUAUAUUACAGUACUGUUUCAGUGCCCAGUCAUUUACUUACGAUUUACAUCAGGCUUUUCGUCUCGGUUGCAGUACUAAAGAUG
rnacentral:lncRNA from 1 species